rnacentral:rRNA from 1 species
UACGUAGGGGGCAAGCGUUGUCCGGAUUUAUUGGGCGUAAAGAGCGUGUAGGCGGCCAAUCAGGUCGGUUGUGAAAACUGGAGGCUUAACCUCCAGACGUCGACCGAAACCGUUUGGCUAGAGUCCGGAAGAGGAGAGUGGAAUUCCUGGUGUAGCGGUGAAAUGCGCAGAUAUCAGGAAGAACACCCGUGGCGAAGGCGGCUCUCUGGGACGGUACUGACGCUGAGACGCGAAAGCGUGGGGAGCGAACAGG